UUUAAUAUAAUGGCACCUGGAAUGAAAAAGAAUAAUUACAUUGUAAAUUGUACACUGCUGAAUACAUAUUAAGAUGCUUAGAUUGGAAAUUUUGAAAAUUAAAGGUGUCUAAUAACUUCCUGCAUGUCUGUGUAAACACACACACACACACACACACACACACACACACACACA